rnacentral:rRNA from 1 species
UACAGAGGGUGCGAGCGUUGUUCGGAAUUAUUGGGCGUAAAGCGCUUGUAGGCGGCACGUCAAGUCGCGUGUGAAAUCCCCAGGCUUAACCUGGGAAGUGCGCGCGAAACUGACGAGCUUGAGUGCCGGAGAGGGUCGCGGAAUUCCCGGUGUAGAGGUGAAAUGCGCAGAUAUCAGGAGAACACCCGUGGCGAAAGCGGCUCUCUGGAACGGUACUGACGCUGAGACGCGAAAGCGUGGGGAGCGAACAGG